GACGAACGCUGGCGGCGUGGAUUAGGCAUGCAAGUCGAACGGUAUCAUCCUUUCGGGGGUGAGAGAGUGGCGAACUGGUGAGUAACACGUAGGUUAUCUACCCUCAAGACGGGGACAACCCAGGGAAACUUGGGCUAAUACCGGAUGUGAGCAACUUUUAGUUGUUUGAAAGGUGGCGUAAGCUGUCGCUUGGGGAUGAGCCUGCGUCCUAUUAGUUAGUUGGUGAGGUAACGGCUCACCUAGGCAAUGAUAGGUAGGCGGCCUUAACGGGUGGUCGCCCACACUGGGAUUGAGAUACGGCCCAGACUCCUACGGGAGGCAGCAGUCGAGAAUAGUCUACAAUGGUCGGAAGACUGAUAGUGCGACGCCGCGUGAACGAUGAAUCCCUUCGGGGUGUAAAGUUCUUUUAUAUGUGAGCAGUGCUUCUUAUAUUAACAGUAUGGGGAAGAGAUAUUAGCAUAUGAAUAAGCAACGGCUAACUCCGUGCCAGCAGCCGGGUAAUACGG
rnacentral:rRNA from 1 species